CUUUAAGAUCCUGUUUUAAUCUACUCAUAACUUUGUCAAGGUGAUUACUUUGUCAGAAAACUGUUCAGGCACUAACGUGCCCAUGGUGUAGGCAUUGCGUUUGGCCAGAAAGCAGACAUAAGUGGUUCACUUGCAAUCUGCACGAAUAUCCAUCCAUUUUGGAGUCAUGCCAAAACACUGUGGAGCUGGGGAACACCAGGCAUUGCUACAAAACCAAGGUAUGCUAUUAUCUUCAGUUAACAAGUGGGAGUUCUGAGAUCCAAAGGAGACAGCUCAGCAGGAAUGUGGGGCUCAUCUAUCAAAAGCAAGAGGAUUUGAAGAACUGAUGAAGAAUUAAAUGACAGUGUGCGAGGCAGCAGAGAAAUGGAAAUUUCUACCGUAUGCAGCCUGCGAAAGAGACAGGGGGCCAUAGAGCUGCUUGAGAGAGCCUGUGCACAGAAGGGACAGAAAAAGCCUUUCUCUUCGCUGCUGCAGUGUGUGGCACCGCUACAAAUCAUCAGCUUUGUAGUAAUGACCAUUCCCAGGAGUGAAGUGAAUGCUUACUGG